AUCCUCGCCCCUGUGGCGGAAAUGGGAGGGUGCCUGGAGGAGUGGAGGGAUUGGAUUUACACCCUCUUUUCCCUCCGAAGCCUCCUUGGUGGGGGCGAAGAAAGACCAUCCAACCCUGCCAAAGGCAAAAGGAUUAAGGAUAAAUGAAAGCAAGAUAAUGUAGAAGAACUACUUAGCUGCUGGGUUUUUGGAGAUGAGUGAUUUUUUUUUGUAGGGAGAAAUUAUGAAACACAUUGAAAUGGACAAAAAAUUACUGAAUGUCUUCAAUGAAAAAACAGCCAUAGUUUGGCACACCGUCCCGGGCAUUCUGUUGCUAGAGGGGCUGUCCGCUUUUCUUUGUGGUGCUCUGCACAACUCGUUCCCUCUGGAAAGGCAUCAGGGGAGGCAUUUGGGAAAGCUGGCACUUUCCUUUUGCCCUUCACAUCACAUGAUUGAUUGGAAAAAUGGGAAAUGACAAGUGGCAUCAACAAGCGGGGCAAAGAGCUAGCCCAGUCAACCUACGAUGGGCCCCAUUCAAGGGGCACAGAGGGACAGAGGGACAGAAGGCUGAAGACUGGCUGGCUGGGGUGCAGCGAUGCUACAGAACGCCCCAUGGGACUUGGCAUGAAUAGGAAGCGUGGCCAGAUUAAGGACAUCCAAGAACUAGCUGCAGCAGGAAACUAGGCCAGGAGAGGCAAUGGGAAGGAACUACCUGGCAGGAACCUGGCAGAGCUGAAGCUCCCCAUAGAUUGAGGAAUGCAGCCGGCACCUGAGCUCAGCAAGGUAAGGAUGGGGCAGAGAAGGUUCUCAAGCAAUAUUCUGAAAUGAGCAUGAAUCGAUGAAUCAUUUUCCAGAGCUUGGGGGCUUUCCAGGGACAGUGAGCCCCAGGAAUCUGACACAUGGACUCUUACCAAGAGAAAUGGAAUUCCUGAGUGGGGACUGCACAGGAAGCAGUAACGCUUUUCAGCAUAAACUGUAGUCAUCCUGGCCAGGGCUGCAGGCAAGUGAGGGAGCAGCUGCGCCCGGGGUCUAGCAAAGCCCUGGUUCCUCCAGUGAGACCCAAAGCAUCUCCUGAAGGAAGGUCUCUUAAACGACCCUCAGAAUCGGAUUUCGCUCUGCAUCGAGUUUUCUGAAACUUGAAGAUCAAAUGCUGAGGUUACAAAUGCUUUCCAUUAUUUUCUUCAUGGUUUUCUAGAUUUUAAAACAUUGCUCUAGCCAGGGUGUUUUCCCAGCCCCCACGUCCAUGGCACCCCCAGUCUCUUCUCUGCACAUCUGGAUUUCCUACGGGGUUUCACUGGUGUCCAGGGCCGUCACCCAAAGGUGCCUGGCCUGGAGUAAGCAGAGGCUGGAACACAGCCUGAGCCUGGAACACAGCCUGAGCCCUGCUUGUCAAGUUCUGCUUCUGACCAGCGGAGGGGGGCCCAGACUGGGUGCCUAUUUCUAAUUCCUGGAAAGGUUACACAGCGACAUGCAAAGUCCUCCCCAGUAUGGACCACAUUGAAGCAGGUGUGAGGCAGACACCAGGGCUUCCCAGCCACCAGGCUUCUUUGGCCACUUUUUCGUCUUGUCCUGGUAGAAGGUGGCCAUGAAUCCAAGCACCCCUUCCAGCCUCACGAGAUGAAUUAAUUAGCCUAAACUGUUUGUGGUAAUUCCUUUCCCCUUGUGAGCAAUUUGGCACUUUUUGGCACCCAGUCUCUGGUGUGACCUCGCCAUCCUCAUUGGCACAGCCACCCUGGGAACAAAAGCCAUCCUCACGUGUCGCUGAGAUCCCAGCCAUGUGCACACUCAGCCCAGGUAGGCUGCAAGGGCAGAAGCCUCUGAGACCCACUGACUCUUAGCCUUAAUUCUUCCAAAUCAACUUUAAUUUGCCCCAAAUCCCCACACACCAGGACUGUGCCCAGGCUGUGGGGGUCUUACACAGCGUGAAAACUUCAGGAACUUCCUGCUGUCAUCAGUUACUGGUCUUCCUAUUUACCGUUUGGACAACCACAGACUGAAGGAAUCUGAAAUGGACCCGUCGGGUCAGUGGCUCUGAGCCACUGUGGGAAUGUCUGGCAAGGCUGGAAGCCCUGGGGUCUAAGGUCCAGGGGGCCAAGGUGCACCUGGGCUGGCCUUUUGUUCACAGGCUUCCCUGUGAUCUCCCUCCAGCCUGGGAGAAAAAAAAAAAUCUCUCUUCCAUGCUCCUCUCAAAGGCACCCCCUGCAGGACAUCCACACGGUCUCUCUGGGAGCUUGGGCUUUUAUUAAAGACACAGCAAGCCUGCCUUGCCAAAAUCCCUCAGACAAGGCCAUGCCAAGGGCUGGCGACCUCCUGGUAAUGUGAGAAGACACCAGAAGAACACGUACUCCUUUUUCAAUUAACUGUCCCCCCAUCUUUCCGAGGAAAUCUGACUCCUGUACCAAGCUUGCCUUCUAAACAGGUUGAGAGCCUAGAAGCCAAGGGACAGGGCUGUGAGGGGAAAGACUGGGCCCAGCCAGUGAGUGGGGGGCAGCCUGGGAGGAGCAUGUUGGCAGCAUGAGCCCAGCAGGGAAAGAAGGCCUCUGGCCUCUGUCCUGAAUGGCAGGAGGAAGUCACCGUCGGCCACCCUCACAGCCCAGGGUUGGGGCUUCUGGAGUGACUGAUAUCACCCCACGUAUGAAUCUGGCCCUGAUGCCAAGGACUGUGAUUCAACAAGGCAACUGGGGCCAUACACAGGGGUGCUGGGCCCUGUAGGAGACAGUGGCAAGGCCCUGCUCUCAGGCUCCUGGGUCCCAGUGGGGAGGCAGCCUCAUGCAUGGAUCCUUAGCCCGUGAGGAGCAGGAUGGCUGCAAUAAGGAGGAGGAAGCCUGAACAGCUGAUUCCUCCUUGGGCGGUGGGUGGGGUUGGCUCUGUGGGAUCUGAGAAGGCUUCUUGGGAGAGGUUGGGUUUAAGUUAGGACCUUGAGACAGGCAGGAGGAAGCCAUUCUAGAGAAAGGUGGCAGUUUCUGGGAGGGGUUUAUAAUUGAAGCUGGGGCAUCAGGGGUAUGUCAGAAGAAGGAGGGGCAGUGGAAAAUAAGCUUGUAAAAACAGCUUGAGGCCAAACCACAAAGAACACUGAAUGCCUGGGGAGGGGGAGUUUAGUUUGAAUUUUUAUUGUUUAUGCAUGGUCAUAGUUUAAGGAUCCCUGCCCCCAGUCUCAGAUUUUGCCUUUUCCUGCUUCCCAAGCUUUCAGCUGGUUCUUUUAGUAUUUACCUUCAUAGCUGUAAAUAUUAUGCUUAGAUUACUAUUUGAUUUUUCUACUUAUAAUGUCAUUCGUUGAGUUUCUGCUACAGAAGAUGAGAUGUUUAUGUAUAGUGAGAGCAGUAUACAUAAACAUACUUCCUAUCCCUUCAAAUAGAGUUACAUUAUAAUUUUAGUUCAUUAAUAGUUUGCAUUACAUUAUUAUUACUACAUCAACAAUACUCACAGCUGAAUCAUAUAGUAGACCAUGGUAACCUUUUGCUUGCUUAUUUUGUACUUUUCCUGAAAUUAAUCAUUACCUUGUUGUUUGCUUCUUUGUUUUAGUUUGUUUAAGUUUCUAAGUACUUAUUACUAAUGAAACCCCAAAGUUUUUGUCAAGUAUAGACAUCUCCUUUCAGGCUGUUCAGAAAGCCUGUGGUGUCCUACCAACUUCACCCUCCUGGGAAGCUCUUCUGAACCCUAGAGUCCUGUGCAUAACCAUUUGGGAAAAUCCCUUCAUCUCUCUCCUGGGUUAAGGUCCCCUUGCCUUCUUCCUCAUUUCACCCCUAUGUUUUGAUAGAGCACAUCCCCCAGUAGCUUUCUGAGAAAAGGUGCAUUUGGGGCCGUGAUACUUGAAUACCUGGAAAAGUCUUUUCUACCCUUGCAGUUGAUUGAUAGGUUGGCUGGGUAUAGGUUUUAGGUUAGAAAUCAUUUUCCUUUAGAAUUUUGAAAACACUGCUCCAUUGCUUUAAAAAAUGUUGCAACUGAGAAACAUAAAGCCAGCUUGAUUUCUGUCUCCUUUGUAUGUGAUGGGAUUUUUUUUUUCUGUUCUUCUGGGAGCUUUUACAUCUUCUCUUUGUCCCCAGUGUUGUGAAAUUUCACAAUAACCGACCUUGCUGUAGGUCUCUUCAUCCAUUGUGCUGGAAUGGGCCCUUUUAAUGUGGAAACUUGUCCCUCUUGUCUGGGACAUUUUCUUGAAAUAUUUCCUUGACAAUUUCUCUGACAGUAGGUAUUUUUUUCCACCCUUUGAAUAUAGAUGGAAAUACCAUUUUCCCCAGAAUGUAACCAGAUCUUGUCGUUCUAGAAUGUAGCCAGGGAAGCAAAGGCAUCCAGCUAAGUUUGCCUGUGGUAGGAGUCAGAGCGUAAGCUUACUUUGGAAAGGGAGUUCUGCGGUCCACUUUCUGCCUCCGCUGAAGGCCUUCAUGUCGAUGAAGUGCCUGGGAGGUCCUAAGUCUCAUCUUAUUAGAGAAACUGCUCCUGAACAGCCUAAGAUGUCACCCCAUGCAUCAGUUCAUAGUCUCUUACUCUGCUUGAUUUUACUUGCCACAUCAUAGGUGCUCAAUGCUCAUUGUUUGUCAAAUUGAAUUAUUUGGGACACAAUUUUCCCGUCUGUAAAAUGAAGGUGCUGGACUAGAAUUCUAAAAGUCCCAGUAGCUCCAAUGUCCAACAACUAUGCUUAUGUCACUGUGUUGGAAAAUGACUUAUAAAAGGGAAUGAAAUAGUCUCUGUAAAUAUGUUUCUCUGCCCACAUUUAAUGAAUUGUCUACCACAAUGAGGGGGAGUCCUAUUU
rnacentral:lncRNA from 1 species